AUUCUCCAUCCCUGCAUUCCUCCAUCGCAGCAUCCCUGCAUGCCUCCGUUCUCUGCAUCCCUCCACCCCAGUAUCCCUGCACCUCUUCAUCCCUCCAUUCCUGCAUCCCUCUAUUUUUCCAUCCCUCCAUUCCUGUAUCCCUGUGCCCUCCAUCCUCCAUCCCAGCAUCCCUCCAUCCCUGCUCCCCACUCUCACUUCCCUUCCCUUCACAGACAGGCUUUUCCUGCCAUCCUCAGACCCCACCCAGGGUUACCUGAUGCCUUUCCAGCUGCACACGGGGACUGACUCACCUCUCUCUUUCUCAGUCCCAAAGUCCCGAAAGAGAGCAUCUGAUGUGGUCAGCUUGUGACAAGGCGUCCACCUUCUGUCCAUGACAUGGAGGCCAGGGGAAGGUCUCACUGCCCAGCACCCCACCCUGUGCUCCCAGGCCUUUUGAAUGUUCCUCCUGCUCAGCCCAGUGACUGCGGGCUGUGGCUCCUCCUCCAGCCUCCCCUCGAGGUCCUGGUCUUACUUAGGAGGCCCCGGGUGUAGAUGCCUUCCCACCCACCAGGCAUUGCCCCUUUUCCUGGCUUCACAGACUCGGGAAUAAAGUUUCCUUCUGUUUCCCCUCUUGCAGAAGGAGAUCCGGUUGGCAGCUAAACCGCGCUGGGAACAGGGGCCUGAGUCCUGGACUAGGGCUCUUUCCCCGGGGCUGCUGCAGAUGGGGAGGAGCCUACACCCGCCUCCCGAGUGCUAAUCAGACCUGACAGGCUGGAGAAUGGCCAGUCAGCCUGAGGCCACCGCGGGACACCACCUAGGCCCAGCUUCUCCCCCCACCAGAGGGCGCCAGAGCCCGCCAAGCCUCGUAGGAGAUGGCAACAGGGCCUGCUGCUGCCACCUAGCGGCCAAUUCCGGGAAUGAAUCUCGGCACGCUCAUUACCCAGCGACUCUGCCCAUCUUGACCCUUUAUGUGAAGCAGAACAGCCGCUUCCGCAGUGAGCUGUCAGAAGGCGUCGUGCCUGUCUUGCUAGUGGGGAAACUGAGGCUCAGAGAGGCAGAAGACUUGCCCAAGAUCACACCACCGGGACCCAGGAUUCAAGCGCAGGCCUGCCCAGGCUCUCUGUGGCCUCCUGGCUGCGAGGAGGCAGCCAGGGACCAGGUGCCACCCUUCUGAGACACCUGAGAUCCCAGGCCCGAGAGGAUGAAGGCGGGAUUACCUGGAGCGUGUCUGAAUGCUGGAGGAAGAAGGGCAGCUGGGAGAUGAAGCUGUCAGGAUGGGCCGCAUCCCAUUUCCUGCCUCGUUUCAGUUCAACUUUCCAACAGACCUCCCUGGCUCGUCUUGCUCUUCUCUAAUGGACAAACAAACAGGCUCAGAGAGGUGGUGUGACUUGCCCAAGGUCACUCAGCUUGGAUGCUAUGGAACAGGGACGUCCACUGUCCCAGUCUGUUUAUGGGAAGCCGCUCUGCAACUGUCCUGACCCACCACAUGCCCCACCGCUGUUUCUCUUGCCCUGACCCCUUGUUCCCUGGACCAGGGUGGCACAGCUCCAGGCUCUUGGGCCCUUCCCGAGGGCAGGCACCUGUGACUGUGUCCCCAAAGACCUGAGUGGCUGAGGGGGCCCCACAGAGCUUGGACUUCCUGGAGGACAAGGAGGGGUCUGCCAGCCACCCCCACCACGCCCGCCCCAGGGCUCCCCUGGAGCUUCCAUGCCAGCCGGACUCAGGUGGGUCUGGAGGAGCACCGUGCCUCCAAUCAGACCUUGAGAUGUGCCCCCUGCCCCCACUGUGCCCUCCCCUGCCCAGGAGUCUGGUUGCAAACCCUGAUUAAGGGGAUUUUAUCUCCACCAGAGGGCCAGUAGGUGGGAAGUAGCUUAAACAAUGCAGGUUUAUAAUCUCACAGUUCUGGAGGUCAAGAGUCUGAAAUGGGCCUCAUGGGGCUAAAACCAAGGUGUCUGCAGGGCUGUGUUCCUUCUGGAGGCUCCAGGGCAGGAAGGGGAGGAUCCACUUCUGUGCCUUUCCAGCUUCUAGAGGCUGCCUGCGUUCCUUGGCUCGUGGCCCCUUCCUCCACCUUCAAGCCAGCAGCGGAGGCCUGAGUCCUUCUCAUGCCAUCUCUCUGUUCUCUCUCCUGCCUCCUCCUCCACACUGAAGGACCCCUGUGAUCACACUGGCCCCCCCACCGGAUGACCCAGGAUAAUCCAUCUCCCUGUUUGAAGGUCGGCUGAUUAGCAACCUUCAUUCCAUCUGCCUCCUUCAUUCCCCCUGGCCAUGUAAUGGGAUUCACAGCUUCUGGGGAUUAGGACAUGGACAUCUUGUGGCGGGGGCAUAAUUCUGUCGACGACACCAAGAAACACUUGGAUGUUAAGGAUUCACCGAACACUGUUCAGGCUCCAGGUGCUGGGAGCAGCAGUGAACAAAGCCAACAGACACUGCCACCCUCAAGGAGUUCACGUUCAUGGGCGAGGGAACAGAUGAGAAACCCGGCAAUGAAAGUAAGUAGCAU
rnacentral:lncRNA from 1 species